rnacentral:rRNA from 1 species
GUUGUAUGGUUAAGUGACUAAGCGUACACGGUGGAUGCCUGGGCAGUCAGAGGCGAUGAAGGACGUACUAACUUGCGAUAAGCGCAGAUAAGGCAGUAAGAGCCGUUUGAGUCUGCGAUUUCCGAAUGGGGAAACCCAACUGCAUAAGCAGUUACUGUUAACUGAAUACAUAGGUUAACAGAGCAAACCGGGGGAACUGAAACAUCUAAGUACCCCGAGGAGAAGAAAUCAACCGAGAUUCCGGUAGUAGCGGCGAGCGAACCUGGAUUAGCCCUUAAGCACUCGGUGAAGUAGGUGAACAAGCUGGAAAGCUUGGCGAUACAGGGUGAUAGCCCCGUAACCGACGCUUCAUCGAGCGUGAAAUCGAGUAGGGCGGGACACGUGAUAUCCUGUCUGAAUAUGGGGGGACCAUCCUCCAAGGCUAAAUACUCCUGACUGACCGAUAGUGAACCAGUACCGUGAGGGAAAGGCGAAAAGAACCCCUGUGAGGGGAGUGAAAUAGAACCUGAAACCGUGUACGUACAAGCAGUAGGAGCACCUUCGUGGUGUGACUGCGUACCUUUUGUAUAAUGGGUCAGCGACUUAUAUUCAGUGGCAAGGUUAACCGUAUAGGGGAGCCGUAGCGAAAGCGAGUCUUAACUGGGCGCUCAGUCUCUGGAUAUAGACCCGAAACCGGGUGAUCUAGCCAUGGGCAGGUUGAAGGUUGAGUAACAUCAACUGGAGGACCGAACCGACUAAUGUUGAAAAAUUAGCGGAUGACUUGUGGCUAGGGGUGAAAGGCCAAUCAAACUCGGAGAUAGCUGGUUCUCCCCGAAAGCUAUUUAGGUAGCGCCUCGGACGAAUACUACUGGGGGUAGAGCACUGUUAAGGCUAGGGGGUCAUCCCGACUUACCAACCCUUUGCAAACUCCGAAUACCAGUAAGUACUAUCCGGGAGACACACGGCGGGUGCUAACGUCCGUCGUGGAGAGGGAAACAACCCAGACCGCCAGCUAAGGUCCCAAAGUAUUGCUAAGUGGGAAACGAUGUGGGAAGGCUCAGACAGCUAGGAUGUUGGCUUAGAAGCAGCCAUCAUUUAAAGAAAGCGUAAUAGCUCACUAGUCGAGUCGGCCUGCGCGGAAGAUGUAACGGGGCUAAGCAAUACACCGAAGCUGCGGCAAUGUCUUUUAGGCAUUGGGUAGGGGAGCGUUCUGUAAGCCGUUGAAGGUG